GCCUGGGUGGCUCAGUUGGUUGGGCAUCUGACUUCGGCUCAGAUCAUGAUCUCUCGGUUUGUGGGUUCGAGCCCCGCGUCAGGCU
rnacentral:tRNA from 1 species